UCCGGUUGAUCCUGCCGGCGGUCACUGCUAUCGAGUUUCGACUAAGCCAUGCGAGUCACAGGCCGAAAGGUACUGGCGGACGGCUCAGUAACACGCGGAUAAUCUACCCUCAGGUGGGGUAUACCCUUGGGAAACUGAGGCUAAUCCCCCAUAGGUCCUGUAAACUGGAAUGUUUUAAGACUGAAAGUCACGGCGCCUGAGGAUGAGUCUGCGGCCUAUCAGGUAGUAGGUGGGGUAAAGGCCCACAUAGCCUAUGACGGGUACGGGCCCUGAGAGGGGUAGCCCGGAGAUGGGUUCUGAGACACGAACCCAGGCCCUACGGGGCGCAGCAGGCGCGAAACCUUCGCAAUGCGCGCAAGCGCGACGAGGGGAACUCGAGUGCUAUUAUCCUUUUGGGUGAUAGCUUUUCUCGAUCCUAAAAAGAUCGGGGAAUAAAAGCUGGGUAAGACGGGUGCCAGCCGCCGCGGUAAUACCCGCAGCUCAAGUGGUGGCCACUAUUAUUGAGCCUAAAGCGUCCGUAGCCGGUCUUGUAAAUCUCUGGGUAAAUCCCAUCGCUCAACGGUGGGAAGACUGGAGAGACUGCAAGACUAGGGAUCGGGUGAGGUAAGAGGUACUCCUGGGGUAGGGGUAAAAUCCUGUAAUCCUGGGGGGACGACCGGUGGCGAAGGCGUCUUACUAGAACGACUCCGACGGUGAGGGACGAAGGCUAGGGGAGCAAACCGGAUUAGAUACCCGGGUAGUCCUAGCUGUAAACGCUGCCCACUUGGUGUUGCCCUUUCGUAGGGAAGGGGCAGUGCCGGAGCGAAGGUGUUAAGUGGGCCGCUUGGGGAGUAUGGUCGCAAGGCUGAAACUUAAAGGAAUUGGCGGGAGAGCACCGCAACGGGAGGAGCGUGCGGUUUAAUUGGAUUCAACGCCGGA
rnacentral:rRNA from 1 species